rnacentral:rRNA from 1 species
GGAGUUUGGACCGUGUCUCAGUUCCAAUGUGGGGGACCUUCCUCUCAGAACCCCUACUGAUCGUCGCCUUGGUGGGCCGUUACCCCGCCAACUAGCUAAUCAGUCGCAUCCUCAUCCAUCGCCGAUAAAUCUUUAUUCGCCAAACCAUGCGGAAAAGCGAAACCAUCAGGUAUUAAUCUUUCUUUCGAAAGGCUAUCCCUGAGCCAUGGGUAGAUUGGAUACGCGUUACUCACCCGUGCGCCGGUCGUCAUCUGGCUGAGCAAGCUCAGCCAAUGUUACCCCUCGACUUGCAUGUGUUAAGCCUGUAGCUAGCGUUCAUC